ACUGCACCUCCCCGAACACAGUCGCCGCCAGCCUGGGCUCGGCCACGCGCAGAUGAGGGGCAGGAUCCCCGGAUACGAUUGUGCGCCCGGUGCUGGAGGAACAGCUUAGGAAGUCCGCAAGAGGUGGGGUUCUGAGCCCGGCCUGAAGCAGCGCAUCCGCGGAGCGCGAAAGCGAGGGCGCAGCCCACAUGCCGGCGCCCAGCAUCCGAGCGGGCUUCGGGUACGCGUGGGUCUGCGCUUACUGAACCUCGAAACUGCUGUUCACAGUAGGGAUGCAGCGCCUCUUUGGCGUCGCUUAGACCUAGCCUGAAUUCCACAUCCAGACCCUAGUGCUGUCCUGACUCUGGGCCAGGGUCGGGUCACCCGCCACCCGCGAACUUCUCUUCCUCCCCUGCUCCUCCGCGGUGCCUUUACUUUUAGCUUCCAGAUGCAGCCGCUGGCUCACUCAGACGCCGAACCCGAAGCAGUCUGGCACGCCUUUCAGGAGAAAGCUGAACCGGUUUGGGGACGAAGUCGAGAUGAGAGUACCUCGUCAGCAACCUCCAAAGGUGGAGUCUUUCCCCCCAGGGAACACUAUCAAGGCCUGAGAUGCUGCCUGCCGCGGAUGAUCGGGAUCCACGAUCCUCACCGACUGGAGGAACCCAGCAGUGUGGACAGGGCAAUGGGGGCUCUCAUCAGGAUUGGAGAGGCUAGCAUGGGGGCGUGGUCCCAACCUCCCCACCCCUUCGGGCGAUCUCGGGGUGAAAAUGCACACGUGCCCCGGUGUAUGCGCUUCGGUGGAGAUAAACAAGACGCAUAGUUGUGUAAGUGAUAUAUUUCAUGGCAAGUGACCUGAGGGUGUCCGUGACUAACCGGAGUUAAAUUUUUGGAAGAUUAUUAGCGGAGACUUGGAAAAAGAAGCUCCCAAAUCCUACCAAGCACCAAAAACAGACACCAAACUCCCAAGGAAGCUGCAUUGGUUUAGCUCCGGUUACAGAGAACUGGCGCGCCCACACCGGCCCCCGCGCGACCCCACCCACCUCUAUCUUCGCAUCGCUUCUUAAAGUCCAGAAGAGGCGAGUCCAAGAGGAAAACGAACCCAGAUAAGAAAGGAUUGCAGUGAACUAGGUCACGCCUUGAAGGUGGCUUCUCUCCCAGAGGACCCUGGAGUUCCCCGACCGAGUUUCUCAGUAUUUUAGGAGUCCCCAGGAGGGCCAGGGGCACAGGCUGGACCUGCGGUUCCGCACGCGUCACUGCAAUAUAUGCCUUGGCUCUGUACAGCCGCGGGACAGCCUGACCGGAUCAUGAACGCCCCGAGUGCCUUCCGAGAAGGUGACUCAGCGACACGCUCACGGGUGGAGAAACUCCCGGAAACAACCAACCAAC
rnacentral:lncRNA from 1 species